UAGGGAAUCUUCGGCAAUGGACGGAAGUCUGACCGAGCAACGCCGCGUGAGUGAAGAAGGUUUUCGGAUCGUAAAGCUCUGUUGUUAGAGAAGAACGUUGGUAGGAGUGGAAAAUCUACCAAGUGACGGUAACUAACCAGAAAGGGACGGCUAACUACGUGCCAGCAGCCGCGGUAAUACGUAGGUCCCGAGCGUUGUCCGGAUUUAUUGGGCGUAAAGCGAGCGCAGGCGGUUCUUUAAGUCUGAAGUUAAAGGCAGUGGCUUAACCAUUGUACGCUUUGGAAACUGGAGGACUUGAGUGCAGAAGGGGAAAGUGGAAUUCCAUGUGUAGCGGUGAAAUGCGUAGAUAUAUGGAGGAACACCGGUGGCGAAAGCGGCUCUCUGGUCUGUAACUGACGCUGAGGCUCGAAAGCGUGGGGAGCAAACAGG
rnacentral:rRNA from 1 species